rnacentral:rRNA from 1 species
GUCAGCUCGUGUCGUGAGAUGUUGCGUUAAGUCGCGCAACGAGCGCAACCCCUGUCCUUAGUUGCCAUCAGGUAAAGCUGGGCACUCUAGGGAGACAAACCCUCUCUGAGGGUGGGAAGGUGGGGAUGACGUCAAGUCCUCAUGGCCCUUAUAGGUGGGGCUACACACGUCAUACAAUGGCUGGUACAAAGGGUUGCCAACCCGCGAGGGGGAGCUAAUCCCAUAAAACCAGUCGUAGUCCGGAUCGCAGUCUGCAACUCGACUGCGUGAAGUCGGAAUCGCUAGUAAUCGUGGAUCAGAAUGUCACGGUGAAUACGUUCCCGGGUCUUGUACACACCGCCCGUCACACCAUGGGAGUGGGUUUUGCCAGAAGUAGU